AGGACGAACGCUGGCGGCGUGCUUAACACAUGCAAGUCGAGCGGAAAGGCCCUUCGGGGUACUCGAGCGGCGAACGGGUGAGUAACACGUGAGCAACCUGCCCUUGGCUCUGGGAUAGCCUCCGGAAACGGGGAUUAAUACCGGACAUUCACUUUCUCCUGCAUGGGGGUUGGUGGAAAGUUUUUCGGCCAGGGAGGGCUCGCGGCCUAUCAGCUUGUUGGCGGGGUAACGGCCCACCAAGGCGACGACGGGUAGCCGGCCUGAGAGGGCGAUCGGCCACACUGGGACUGAGACACGGCCCAGACUCCUACGGGAGGCAGCAGUGGGGAAUAUUGCACAAUGGGCGCAAGCCUGAUGCAGCGACGCCGCGUGGGGGAUGAAGGCCUUCGGGUUGUAAACCCCUUUCACCAGGAGCGAAUUCAGACGGUACCUGGGGAAGAAGCGCCGGCUAACUACGUGCCAGCAGCCGC
rnacentral:rRNA from 1 species